GACGGAGGAUGCAAGCGUUAUCCGGAAUGAUUGGGCGUAAAGCGUCCGCAGGUGGCAGUUCAAGUCUGCUGUCAAAGACCGGGGCUUAACUUCGGAAAGGCAGUGGAAACUGAACAGCUAGAGUAUGGUAGGGGCAGAGGGAAUUCCUGGUGUAGCGGUGAAAUGCGUAGAGAUCGGAAAGAACACCAACGGCGAAAGCACUCUGCUGGGCCGACACUGACACUGAGAGACGAAAGCUAGGGGGGCGAAUGGG
rnacentral:rRNA from 1 species